UGGGGAAUAUUGGACAAUGGGCCAAAGCCUGAUCCAGCCAUGCCGCGUGUGUGAAGAAGGUCUUCGGAUUGUAAAGCACUUUAAGUUGGGAGGAAGGGCAGUAAGCGAAUACCUUGCUGUUUUGACGUUACCGACAGAAUAAGCACCGGCUAACUCUGUGCCAGCAGCCGCGGUAAUACAGAGGGUGCAAGCGUUAAUCGGAAUUACUGGGCGUAAAUCGCGCGUAGGUGGUUCGUUAAGUUGAAUGUGAAAGCCCCGGGCUCAACCUGGGAACUGCAUCCAAAACUGGCGAGCUAGAGUAGGGCAGAGGGUGGUGGAAUUGCCUGUGUAGCGGUGAAAUGCGUAGAUAUAGGAAGGAACACCAGUGGCGAAGGCGACCACCUGGGCUCAUACUGACACUGAGGUGCGAAAGCGUGGGGAGCAAACAGG
rnacentral:rRNA from 1 species